rnacentral:rRNA from 1 species
CCCUUAGAUGUCCUGGGCUGCACGCGCGCUACACUGGAAGUUACGGAUUGAGAUACUACCUUGUCCGAAAUGGUCCGGGUAAUCACCUAAAAGCUUGUCAUAAUUGGAAUGGAUUAUUGUAACUAGUAAUCCUGAACGAGGAAUUCCUAGUAAGUCCCAGUCAACAGCUGGUACUGAUUACGUCCCUGCCCUUUGUACACACCGCCCGUCGCUACUACUGAAUGGACGUUUAAGCAAGAUUUUUAAACACUGACAGUGUGUAGUUCACGCUAUACUACAGUGAGAAGAAGAAGAUCGAGCUUACUUGUCUAGAGGAAGUAAAAGUCGUAACA